rnacentral:piRNA from 1 species
ACAUCUGAUGAAGACAGAGACUUCUGAGA